AGUUUUUUUUUUUUUUCUGACGAUGCACCGGGCGAACAUCCCACCGCGAGUGAACACCAUCCCCACGAGGCCACGACCCCUCCACUUGCCGCUUGCCGAGGCCGCGGGGGAGGGGGAGGGGGACCUCCUGCCUCGUGGAGGUGCGGUGCGCCGGUUGCGGGGAGGCCCUCCACGCCGCCGCCGCCGCCGCCGCGCGCUGCCCAUCCCGUCAGCGGCGGCGCGGGCGGCGGCCCCCGCGAGCGCGAGGCUACCGUGCGGCCCGGGCGAUGCCGGGGAAGGCCUGCGCGCACUGCUCAUCAACGCGGAGAGGAGAGGAGAUCCGGGGAAGCGGAGGAAGGCGCGCGGUGGGGCCGUAGUCGUGGUCGUGGAGACGAUGCAGGCAGCAGGCCUACCCUGCUCCUUCCUCGGCUGGAGACAAUUUUCGGCGCGGUGACAGAACGAGGCGGCUCCUCCCUUGGUCCCUCCCCCACCGUCGUGAACGACAACCGUCGCGGACACCAUUCGGUUGUCCCCCGACGGCGGCAGCGCGACGAAUGCAGAACCAAGCUCCCAUCGCCAACAUGCUCCGCAAGAAGGAUGUUGCUUGGCUUCAGAUCACAAUGGAUAACUGGCGGUUGACAGCUAUUGUGAAGAUAUUCUACUGCAGCAAUGAUAUCAGCAGCAAUAUCAAGCCUCUGGUCAAGGUUUAGUGUGUUUCUUGUAGUGGAUUUAUGAAAUUUUGGGUGAAGCCAAACAUCUAGGCUACCAUUAGGCAUAAACUCGAAAACCAAUGCCUUGAACUCUUGACCUUGCAGAUCAAUGCUCGAGCAACAAGUAAUGAUCUUUAUGAGACAACGGUGUCGUAUCCUUCUCAUGGCCUCACAUUCCACCUCGAAACUCUUGGAAGAUCCAGACUGACAAAGGUUGAAGACCUUGACAGCCAAGGGUUCUCUAUCCUCAUUGCCAAGUACACACUUAUAAACAGUACCAUAUCUUCCACUUCCUAGCAAGUUUGAUUCUGAAAACCCAUCGGUUCCUUUGGAUAAUGCAAGGUAUGGAAUUCGUUCAAAUUUCUCACCAGCAAUUAGAGAUUGUGCUCUUUCGUUCUGCUUUUGUUUGAGCUUUUCGCGGAGCAUCCAAACAAGAAGAAUAAUUGAAACUGACAAUAAGACUGUUACAGUUGUUGUCAGAGAAAUUAUAAGAGACUUAAACUUCUUUUUUCUGCCCUUUCUUGUAUGUCUUGUGGAGCAAGGUGCCAAGUGAAGUUGAGGUGCUCCACUGCACAACUCAGUAUUCCCAGCGACUGAUUUGUAAGAUAGGUUUCUGAAGGCACCUCCAUCUGGCACCUUGCCUUGCAGGUACAACUGUUGCAGAGAUCCAAUAUUACCUAUGGAAUCAGGGAUCCCACCAGACAAAUUGUUCAUGGUCAGAUUCAAUACAGUAUUUGGCCAGACAAAUGGUUAUUUGACAGGAUCAAUUGGUUGAGGUUGGUCAUGAUACCAACUUCUGAUGGAAGGGGUCCUGAAAGAGAAUUGUAUGAUAAAUCUAAGUAAUAUGAAAGCGAAGGAAGCUUCAAAUUUUCCUUGGGUAUUGAACCAUUUAGGUAGUAAUUUUUCGACAGAUCAAGAGUAUACAGAUUCUUCAGGUUUCCAAGACUUUCUGGGAUUGGUCCUUCCAGGUUGUUGUCAUAUGCCACGAAAAUGUGUAACGAACAUGGCACCUUUUAUGCCAUUUCGAGUGAUUUUGAUGAUCGAAUGACAA